rnacentral:rRNA from 1 species
GACGAACGCUGGCGGCGUGCUUAACACAUGCAAGUCGAACGGAAAGGCCCUGCUUUUGUGGGGUGCUCGAGUGGCGAACGGGUGAGUAACACGUGAGUAACCUGCCCUUGACUUUGGGAUAACUUCAGGAAACUGGGGCUAAUACCGGAUAGGAGCUCCUGCUGCAUGGUGGGGGUUGGAAAGUUUCGGCGGUUGGGGAUGGACUCGCGGGUUAUCAGCUUGUUGGUGGGGUAGUGGUUUACCAAGGGUUUGACGGGUAGCCGGCCUGAGAGGGUGACCGGGAAAAAUGGGAAUGAGAAAAGGACCAGAGAGAGAAGGGAGGAAGCAGGGGGGAAGAAUGAAAAAUGGGAGGAAGGCUGAAGAAGCAAAGCGGAGGGCGGGAGGACGGCCUUCGGGUUGGAAAAAGAUUUCGCCUGUGACGAAGCGUGAGUGAAGGUAAGGGGUAAAGAAGCAACGGCUAACUACGUGC